UAUUCAUACUGCGCAAAUUUAUCGGAGACUGUGCGAAAACAUGCUACAGAUAUACAUACUUUAGUGUAAAUACAUGCAACAACUUUACGCUUAUUGGAUUACACUUUCAGACAGAUACAAUCAACGCAUCAUUCCAUUGCCCUGUUCAUUUCCUGCAGAAGCAACGACUGCCCCUUGUUCCAGUCUAAUGAUCCACACCCUCGAAUACAGGCAGUUGUUCGGGAUUCUGUAGUAGUUUCGUCGGGGGAGAGGAUGACAGUUCCCGUUCCACGGCGCGAGCGGAUCGCGUC